GAUGAACGCUGGCGGCGUGCCUAAUACAUGCAAGUCGAGCGAACAGACGAGGAGCUUGCUCCUCUGACGUUAGCGGCGGACGUGUGAGUAACACGUGUAUAACCUCCCUAUAAGACUGGGAUAACUACGGGAAACCGGAGCUAAUACCGGAUAAUAUAUUGAACCGCAUGGUUCAAUAGUGAAAGACGGUUUUGCUGUCACUUAUAGAUGGAUCCGCGCCGCAUUAGCUAGUUGGUAAGGUAACGGCUUACCAAGGCAACGAUGCGUAGCCGACCUGAGAGGGUGAUCGGCCACACUGGAACUGAGACACGGUCCAGACUCCUACGGGAGGCAGCAGUAGGGAAUCUUCCGCAAUGGGCGAAAGCCUGACGGAGCAACGCCGCGUGAGUGAUGAAGGUCUUCGGAUCGUAAAACUCUGUUAUUAGGGAAGAACAAAUGUGUAAGUAACUAUGCACGUAUUGACGGUACCGAAUCAGAAAGCACCGGCUAACUACGUG
rnacentral:rRNA from 1 species